AGCAUGAUGGCGCAGUGGAAGCGCGCUGGGCUCAUAACCCAGAGGUCCUUGGAUCGACACCAAGUCGUGCUA
rfam:Phialocephala scopiformis strain CBS 120377 unplaced genomic scaffold LY89scaffold_22, whole genome shotgun sequence.